UUUGAUCUCAAAUCAGGUAGGGCUACCCGCUGAACUUAA
rnacentral:rRNA from 1 species